GACAGAUCUAGGUGCUGCUGUAGGCUUUCCUUGGUUGGGGACAGAUCUAGGUGCUGCUGUAGGCUUUCCUUGGUUGGUGACAGAUCUAGGUGCUGCUGUAGGCUUUCCUUGGUUGGGGACAGAUCUAGGUGCUGCUGUAGGCCCUCCUUGGUUGGGGACAGAUCUAGGUGCUGCUGUAGGCCCUCCUUGGUUGGGGACAGAUCUAGGUGCUGCUGUAGGCCCUCCUUGGUUGGGGACAGAUCUAGGUGCUGCUGUAGGCCCUCCUUGGUUGGUGACAGAUCUAGGUGCUGCUGUAGGCCCUCCUUGGUUGGUGACAGAUCUAGGUGCUGCUGUAGGCCCUCCUUGGUUGGGGACAGAUCUAGGUGCUGCUGUAGACCCUCCUUGGUUGGGAACAGAUCUAGGUGCUGCUGUAGGUCCUCCUUGGUUGAGGACAGAUCUAGGUGCUGCUGUAGGCCCUCCUUGGUUGGGGACAGAUCUAGGUGCUGCUGUAGGCCCUCCUUGGUUGGGGACAGAUCUAGGUGCUGCUGUAGGCCCUCCUUGGUUGGGAACAGAUCUAGGUGUUGCUGUAGGUCCUCCUUGGUUGGGGACAGAUCUAGGUGCUGCUGUAGGCCCUCCUUGGUUGGUGACAGAUCUAGAUGCUGCUGUAGGCCCUCCUUGGUUGGGGACAGAUCUAGGUGCUGCUGUAGGCCCUCCUUGGUUGGGGACAGAUCUAGGUGCUGCUGUAGGCUUUCCUUGGUUGGGGACAGAUCUAGGUGCUGCUGUAGGCUUUCCUUGGUUGGUGACAGAUCUAGGUGCUGCUGUAGGCUUUUCUUGG